rnacentral:rRNA from 1 species
UACGUAGGGGGCGAGCGUUGUCCGGAAUUAUUGGGCGUAAAGAGCUCGUAGGCGGUUUGUCGCGUCUGCUGUGAAAUCCCGAGGCUCAACCUCGGGCCUGCAGUGGGUACGGGCAGACUGGAGUGCGGGUAGGGGAGAAUGGAAUUCCUGGUGUAGCGGUGGAAUGCGCAGAUAUCGGGAAGAACACCCGUGGCGAAGGCGGUUCUCUGGGACGGUACUGACGCUGAGACGCGAAAGCGUGGGGAGCGAAC